rnacentral:rRNA from 1 species
UGGGGAAUCUUGGACAAUGGGGGCAACCCUGAUCCAGCCAUGCCGCGUGAGUGAUGAAGGCCUUAGGGUCGUAAAGCUCUUUCGCCUGUGAAGAUAAUGACGGUAGCAGGUAAAGAAACCCCGGCUAACUCCGUGCCAGCAGCCGCGGUAAUACGGAGGGGGUUAGCGUUGUUCGGAAUUACUGGGCGUAAAGCGCACGUAGGCGGACCAGAAAGUUGGGGGUGAAAUCCCGGGGGCUCAACCCCGGAACUGCCUCCAAAACUAUUGGUCUAGAGUUCGAGAGAGGUGAGUGGAAUUCCAAGUGUAGAGGUGAAAUUCGUAGAUAUUUGGAGGAACACCAGUGGCGAAGGCGGCUCACUGGCUCGAUACUGACGCUGAGGUGCGAAAGUGUGGGGAGCAAACAGGAUUAGAUACCCUGGUAGUCCACACCGUAAAACGAUGAAUGCCAGUCGUCGGGUAGCAUGCUAUUCGGUGACACACCUAC